rnacentral:lncRNA from 1 species
GUGCGGUGUUGAGCACGCGGGAAGCACUUAACGAAAGGGAGCUGCCCCUCAGCCCUCGUGAGUCCGAUGUAAAGGAGUGAAGGAGACGAAGAACUGAAUCAGUAGUUGACCGCCUGUGAGCUGGCGAGCUGUGCCCUGGUAGGGCCUUAAAUCCCAGCCCCAGAAGUCGGAGGCAGGGCAGGCACCCCAAAGCGUGGAAGAGAUGCACCUGCGGAGUGAAAAUGCUGCUAUUGCUUCUAGGGUCAGCCUUGGUUCCUGGAACAAAGGAGCCGCAUGACUCGGGUCUGGCGAUGAUGUUGGGCUCUGCAGUGUCCUCAUCCUUCCCCCUCUCUGGGUAAUGAUAUCUUCCCAGGGUUUAAAGUGUGUCCUCUCUGCCAGUAGCUUGUCUCCACAGCCUCAUCUUUAAUUCCACCUGCCCCACCCAUUUUGGACACUGCAGCCAAGUUGCAGCAGAUCCGCAAACCUGGUAAUCCCUCACUUGAAAGUGCUGGAGGCUUUAGGAUGGGGUUCAGGGCCUGUGCAAUCUAACCGCCUGCUUUUUUUUUUUUUUUUUUUUUUUUUUUUUUGAGACGGAGUCGAAUCUCACUGUCUCCCAGGCUGGAGUGCAGUGGCGCCAUCACAGCUCAUUGCAGCCUCAACCUCCUGAGCUCAAGCCAUCCUCCCACCUCAGCCUCCCAAGUACCUGGGGUUACAGGCAAGCACCAUUACGCCUAGCUAAUUUUUCUGGGUUUUUUUUUUUUGUUUUUUUUUUUGUAUAGAUGGAUUUCGCCAUGUUGUCCAGGCUGGUCUUAAACUCUCGCUCUGUCUCCCAGGCUAGAGUGCAGUGGGGCAAUCUCGGCUCCCUGCAACCUCUGCCUCCUGGGUUCAAGCAAUUAUCCUGCCUCAGCCUACCAGUUAGCUGGGAUUACAUGUGUGCGCCACCGCGCCCGGCUAAUUUUUUUAUUUUUAGUAGAGGCGGGGUUUCACCAUGUUGACCAGGCUGGUCUCAAGACUACUGACCUCAAGUGAUCCCCCCCCCCCCCCGCCUCGGCCUCCCAAAGUGCUGGGAUUACAGACGUGAGCCACCGUGCCCAGCGGUUUUGCAUUUUCAAUUGUGGGGCACGGUGAGAAAAGACUUGAAGAAAGCAAGGGAGUGAGAUCCAUGGAAAUGUAGGGGGGAACCUUGCAGGCCUAUGGAACAGCCAGUGCAAAGGGCCUGGGGUGGGAGCUGCCUCAGGGUAGCCAGGAUGGCAGGAGGCACAGCUGCCGAGAGGAAGCAGGGGCCAGGUCCUGCAAGGUUAGAGGCCAUUGCUACUCCUGAACACAUUGGCAGGUUUUGAGCAGAGAAGUGACAUGAUUUUAGUUUUCUCAGGAUCCCUCUGGCUGCUGUGUGGAGGAAGAGGGGAGGGUGAGAGCAGGGAUACCUCUUAGGAGGCUGUGGUAGUAAUCCCAGGGAGCCAGGAUGGGAGCAGAGGAGGGGACAGGAAUUGGAUUCUGGAUGCAUUUUGGAGGGAGCAUGAAGGAAAGCGGGGUCAAAGGUUCCUCUGAGGCCUUGGCUGCCUCUCUUAUUCAUCUACAUCCAUUCUGUCAAGGACACCUUUCAUUUCUUCUUGGCACUGUCUCAAGGCCACCACGCUGCUGCCCACCUGACCAGCAGUGGCCUUUCCAGGCCUUCCAUCUUCUCCCCAGCAGCUUAUCUCUGCGUAGCCAGGUCCCAUUUCCCACACACCUUUUUUUAAAGUGUGUUGCACUGCUCUGGGUGCAGGACUGUAGCAGUGACCAGGGCAGCUCCAGAUGAAGCUUCUGCUCACAGGAACCUUUUCUACUGAAACAGAUGAUACCUAAACUCUCAGCUGUGUGACUUUAAGCAACUUGCACAACCUCUCUGUACUUCAGUUGCCUCCAUCUUCAAAUGGGGAUUAAAAAGUGUUGACAUCAUAGUGGUUGUGAGGAUUACAUGAUUUGAUAGUUUAUAAAGCACUUAGAACUUGUGAAGAAGAGUGCCUGGGGAUUGCCUAAGGUCAGGAGUUCAAGACCAGCCUGGCCAACAUGGAGAAACCUCAUCUCUGCUAAAAAUACAAAAACUAACCACGCAUGGUAGUGCACACCUCUAGUCCCAGCUACUUGGGGGGCUGAGGCAGGAGAAUCACUUGAACCUGGGAGGUGGAGAUUGCAGUGAGCCAAGAUUGCGCCACUGCACUCCAGCCUGGGCAACAGAGCAAGACUCGGUCUCCAAAGAAAAAAAAAGAACUGCCUGGCUACGGAAUAAGAACUACAUGGAGUUAUUAAAUCAAAAUCGGUGCACAAAUGAUAAUUCUUAAGAGUGAGUGCUACAGAGAACACAAAAGGCAAGGCACAGAGAGAUGACCUGGGAGGCAGGGAAGGAAAGCAUUCCCAGAGGUGAGUGGUUAGUGAAGGCUUGUCAGAGAUGGGACGAGGAGAAGCCUAGGGGGCACAGAAGAUGCAAAGGUGCUGAGGCCAGGGCAAAUUCAGAAUUUUUUUUUUUUUUGAGAUGGAGUCUCGCUCUGUCUCCCAGGCUGGAGUUCAGUGGUGCAAUCUCGGCUCACUGCAACCUCCACCUCCUGGGUCCAAGCAAUUAUCUGCCUCAGCCUCCAGAGUAGCUGGGAUUACAGGCAUCCACCACCACGCCCGGCUAAUUUUUGUGUUUUCAGUAGAGACAGGAUUUCACCAUCUUGGCCAGGCUGGUCUUGAACUCCUGGCCUCAUGAUCCACAUGCCUCAGCCUCCCAAAGUGCUGGGAUUACAGGCGUGAGCCACCGCGCCCGGCCAAUAUUUUUUGUGGAGUCAGGGUCCUACUAUGUUUCCCAGGCUGGUCUUGAACUUCCAGGCUCAAGCGAUCCUCCUGCCUUGGCCUCCUAAAGUACUGUGAUUCCAGGCCUGAGCCACAGCACCCUGCUGGCUUUCACUUUUUACUUUAUUUCUAUGUUGUUAAAAUCUAUUACAAUAAACAUUACUUUUAAAGGAUUUUGUGCACUUCAAUCCAAAUGUCCCUGAAGCAUCUACCUCCCUCCUGGGCCUUCUCUGAAGUCAGAGUAGGGGCAGCUGAAGCCCUCCCUCUGCUGGCUCCAGGAACGAAACCCCCUGGCCCACUAAGGCCCUUCCCCUGGGGAGGGUGGCGUGGGAUAAGAACACUCAGUAUCUGUCUGGCCCUCUCAAGAUCA